rnacentral:tRNA from 1 species
GCCUGGGUGGCUCAGUCGGUUGAGUGUCCGACUUCAGCUCAGGUCAUGAUCUCACAGCUCGUGGGUUCGAGCCCCGCGUCGGGCU